rnacentral:rRNA from 1 species
CGUAGGUGGCAAGCGUUGUCCGGAAUUAUUGGGCGUAAAGCGCGCGCAGGCGGUCCUUUAAGUCUGAUGUGAAAGCCCACGGCUCAACCGUGGAAGGUCAUUGGAAACUGGGGGACGUUGAGUACAGAAGAGAAGAGUGGAAUUCCACGUGUAGCGGUGAAAUGCGUAGAGAUGUGGAGGAACACCAGUGGCGAAGGCGACUCUUUGGUCUGUAACUGACGCUGAGGCGCGAAAGCGUGGGGAGCAAACAGGAUU